rnacentral:lncRNA from 1 species
AAAAUUACUGAAAUUAUUUUAUGUCCACUCGCUAAUUAAAUUUUCAUGACCACACUUCCAAACCCUACGUCCUAAAACACCUAAAACCAUAAAAACAUAAAAUUCUAAAACCCUAAAACCAAAAAUCUAAAAUUCCAAAACCCUAAAAUUUAUAAACACUAAAACCCUAGAGCCUUCAUACCCUAAAACCUUAAAUCCUAAACGAAGUUAAUUUAUA